UACGGAGGGUGCAAGCGUUAUCCGGAUUUACUGGGUUUAAAGGGUGCGUAGGCGGACUUUUAAGUCAGGGGUGAAAUCCCGGGGCUCAACCCCGGAACUGCCUUUGAUACUAUUGGUCUUGAAUGUUGUGGAGGUGGGCGGAACGGGUCAUGUAGCGGUGAAAUGCAUAGAUAUGACCCGGAACACCGAUUGCGAAGGCAGCCCGCUACGCAACGAUUGACGCUGAGGCACGAAAGCGUGGGGAUCAAACAGGG
rnacentral:rRNA from 1 species